UACGUAGGGUGCAAGCGUUAAUCGGAAUUACUGGGCGUAAAGCGUGCGCAGGCGGUUAUGUAAGACAGAUGUGAAAGCCCCGGGCUCAACCUGGGAACAGCAUUUGAGACUGGAGGACUUGAGGACGGGAGAGGAGAGUGGAAUUCCCAGUGUAGAGGUGAAAUGCGCAGAUAUCGGGAGGAACACCAGUUGCGAAGGCGGCUCUCUGGACUGUAACUGACGCUGAGGCACGAAAGCGUGGGGAGCGAACAGG
rnacentral:rRNA from 1 species